AAAAAAAAAAAAAGCAUCAAAAUCAUCUGUUUUUAAAUAGUGCUCAGCAAAUAUUAGAUACUCUUAUUGUGGAAGGAUUAGGGGCUGGGCAAUCAGUUAUCCCUAGUUGAUUAAGAAUUAAUAAUGUUUCAGGCAGUGGUGGCACAUGCCUUUAAUCCCAGCACUCUGUGUGUUUGAGGCCAGCCUGGUCUACAGAGCAAGAUCCAGGACAGGAAUCAAAAACUACACAGAGAAAACCUGUCUUGAUAAACAACAAAAAACAAACAAACAAACAAAAAAGAAUUAAUGAUGCUUCUUCCUAUUUCUAGACAGGGAAUUAUAGAGAAUUAUAUGGAGAAUAAGAGAAGUCCUGAGCUGGGCCUGGUGGCACAUGCCUGUAACCCCAGCACUUAGGAGGCUGAGGCGGGAAGAGCAUAAGUUCAAGGCCAGCUUUCACUAUGUAUACGUGUGGGAGCUUUGAGUUUGAGCUGGCGCAUAGAUAAUCACACCUGUUUUCCAGGUAAGAAAAUCAAAGACCAGCGAGAGUAAAUGCUUGUCAAGAUUACCCAGUGGGGAAAAAACAGAAGCUGACUUUGAACUCGGGUUCCUGACUGCUAUUCUAUUACCCAUUUUAAUUUUAGCAUACUUCCUCUAAGUGCAGCAGGAAAGUUAGGCAAAAGUGAGCUCUGUGAGUUGAAAGAAUAGAGAGAAGAGGGGCUGAGAAGCUGUUUGUGGAGGUUCAAGUAAUAUUUAUGGUAUGGAAUGAAUGCUUGUGUUUCUACCCCCAACUUAAUACUCUGAAAUUAUUUGCCAGUGUGAUGGUAUUUGAACACAGGAGUCCCUGGAAGUUUAUAAGGUCAUGAGGUUGGAGCUCUCAUGAGAGAUGGCAGUGUCCUUAUGAGACAGGACAGACAUCUAGUUUGUUCUCUCUCUGCCAUGUGGUGCCAUGGAAGUCACUUGGGUCACCCGGAAGAGUGCCCACCAGAACCCAAACACGCAGGCACUCUGCCUCAGACCUUCAGCCUCCAGAAUGGUGAGAAAUAAACGUUUGAUAUUUAA